rnacentral:lncRNA from 1 species
UUCGGAGGAAUGAGGCAAAACACAUUUUUUUUUUUUUUCUCAAGGUGUAACUUUAUUUAUCAUUCAAAAGAACCAUACAUGGAAUGCCAAACACUUGUUUAGCCUCACACAUUCUACUCGAUUACAUAUUCUAUGAUUUGCAUUGUGAAACUUUUAAUAAUCUCAAACCACAUAAGAGAGCAGUUGGAACACUACAAACGGUAUCAAUAGUGCUUCAGCUUGAUGAUCUGAUGAGAAAGGGCCAUAUGAAAACCAACCAUAGUCUUGAAAACAUUUCAGCAACUGGUGGUGGUGCUCAAGAGAGAUUAACUCAAUAUCUCCAUUUUCAACCCUUCAUAACACUGCAUUCCAUCUGUUUUUGUUUUACCAAACUAAGAACCUAAGCUUUUAAACGAUCCUAGCAAGCUCAAAAGAAACAUAUCUAACUAACAAGGAACUCAUGAAAAGAGGAAACCCAGCAAAAAUUUCAACUAAAAAUAAAAUACUAAAAAGGGCAAAACUAAAUCUCUCACUUAACCCCCGUCCUAGGAACAUUUACACUUAACGCGCGACCCAGCGGAGCCAUGAGUGCAAUCUAAUCAUACCCGAAACUUCUACUAGAGCCUCAACCACUGAGAUCCUAAAGCUUGAAAGAAAAUUAACCACAGAGCAAGACAAAGAUCGAAUACUAGCUAAGAGCUUAUGACCCUAAAAGGCUAAAACAAACCAACUAAACGACAGUUGGCCCAAAGUAAACAAAAGAAAGGCCUUAUUAAAAUACACAAGUGGCCCAGAAGAUAGAUAUGGUCAAACGAUGAAAGCAUGAUUAAAUGAACACGUGGAAAGAAACUAUAUCACCCUUUGAAGAUGACGCCAUUGAAGCCACGUGUAAGCAUAUCCUUCACUCAAACAAUGACUCUUUGGAGUCGCUCGGGAAGAAAGAUUCCGAUCACCGGUAAUCUACGUCGGAGAAGUAUCCGAUCAUCUAUGAGCAACAUCGAAGAGAAUUCACCCGAGACUGAAACUAAUCCAAAUAUCCAAUUCGUCUAAACUUCUCGAGUUCAUCUUGAAUUAGUGAAGAAAACUUAAACUGAGACGAGAUCAGUAAACCGCCAUGCUUCACCAAGCAAAACUCAACACCUUCAAAUUCACCAUAUUUUUGUCUCUUCUUUAAAUCGACAUCAAAAUAUCACUGGAUCUACAUCUGAUUUCCAAAUAGAUGAAGAUCUCCAUCGUUAAAUUGAAGAAAACAGAAAUCAGGUGGACAUGAUCUACAUAAACGCAUAAACUCUGCUUCAUCUUCUUCUCUAGACAUCUCUGUUUUAUGUUCAUGCCAAACUUCACCAGAAUCACCUUGUCUACAUCUGAAUCCAAAGUUGGACACAAACCAAAAACACGACAGCGGGAUAGUCGUACCAUAAGCGAGAUAAACCGGACAACGCCGGAGGUAAACGAAAGCUAGCCAUCGUCGCUAGAAAAGCCGAUCGAUGCUAGAUGCAGGGCCGGCCCAUAGGUAAAGCCCAUGAAGCAUCAAAUAAUUAUAAGUAGUUUUAAGGGCAUCAAUUUUUAAAAUGUUAUUAUGGUCUAGUGGUUAGAUUGAAGUCUUUUGUUGUACAGGUCACGGUUUUGAAUCUCAUACAUGUUAAAACUUGUAUUUUUUUUUUUAUAACAGCUUUUGUUAAUGAGCCAAAAAAAUUUUUGCUUUAGGCACUCAAAUAGUUUGGGCCGGCCUUGGCUAGAUGUAAAGCCGACCAAACACCGCUUUAUAAGCCGGAUUAUGUCGGACGUAAAGCCGGAUUUCAUACCGGACGGCAAAAACAUGUUUUGAUGCUUUCUCUCUCUCUGUGAAAGAUAUUAGAGAGAGAAAAGAGAGAGAAAGCUCUUGGUAAUCUCCAGCUAUUUGUAGGCAAAACACAUUUUUAUGUAGAUUUUUUAACUAUAUUUUGCCAAUCAUAAAAAAAAAAAAAAUCAUCUUUUAGAUCUUUAUCUAUUUUAUGAUUAAAAUUAUAAAACACUUUAAAGUGAUAAUAAAUAAUUUUGAUAAAUUUGUUAAUUAGCUAACUACAAAAAAUAAAGGAUAGAUAAUAAGUUACAUUGGUACUUUUAUGUUAAAAAAUCUAAAUAUACAUUAAAAUUUAUGAAAAUAUGGGAGUCUUGUUUAAAACAAAGAAAGCAUAUGGCUUUGCAAGAAAGAAAGGGCACGUAUCAUCAUCCUUCACAACAGACUCAUAAAUUUGCAAUCAUUGUAUAAACAUCCUAAUGGUGGGACACCAAAUCUCUAAGUGACACAAUCUAGAAAGUUUCUAAGGCUCUAUUAAUAUAGACACUUAAGCUAUUCUCAUAUGUAUGAUUCAAAAACGUUAAAAUUAAAGACAUUUUUCGGAUUCUUGACCUUACCCGUCUUUAUAGAACAAAGGGAUUCUCUUCUCGUCUUCAUCGGGAGAAGAAAGGAUAUCAAAUCUUCCACUUCAAUGUCUUAUGCAUAUAGAUUUAAGUAUAUCCUCAUCGGUGAUACUGGUACUGCUUUUUUUUUUUUUUUUUCAAUCCUUAUCAUAUGAAUCUAUUUCAUAUCAAACCUUUCUUGGUGGACAAGAAACAUUCAGGGGCCUCAGGGCUCGAGGGGCUUGUGAUGUUGAUUGAGUUUUGAAUCUGGUUUCAGGAGUUGGGAAAUCAUGCCUUCUGCUUAAGUUCACCGACAAGAGGUUUCAAGCGGUGCAUGAUCUCACCAUUGGUGUUGAAUUUGGGUCCAAGAAGAUCACUAUCGACAACAUACCCAUCAAACUCCAGAUCUGGGAUACGGUCUCUUUCUACUUACUUGACUUUUUACACGUCCAAAAUCUAUCUUAUUUUCUUGAAAUACCCUGGUUUGGUUGAUCUUAUAUACUCUGAUUUUCUUUGACCACCGACUUGACUAAAACUUCAUUAAAAUUGAUCUAUGUCUUUAUUUUCCACAAUUCAUGGGAUUAUAUUCAGCAGCCUAGUUUGAACCUCCUAUCCUUAGUGUUGGCUAAUCUUUCUCUGUGAUUUGUGGCAGGCUGGUCAAGAAUCAUUUAGGUCUGUUACAAGGUCUUACUAUAGAGGGCGUGCCGGGACAUUGCUUGUCUAUGAUAUCACAAGGUAAAAUCACUUUCUUCUUUCCUAUUUUUCGUUAUCAAGAGUUCACUUGAUCGUGAAAGCAAUUUGAUUAUCUUGUGUUGAGCAUGAUCUUGACUUAAGCUGUCUUUGUUGACAUGAUCUUAUUCUAUUUUCCGAUAAGGGACUAGAACUAGAUUUGUAUAUGUUAAAAAUGUCAUCGUCUUAGUGAAGACACUCACACUAUUGUUGAUCUCCGUUUUUGCAGGAGGGAGACAUUUAACCAUCUAGCCAGCUGGCUAGAAGAGGCAAGGCGGCAUGCAAGUGAAAAUAUGACGACAAUGCUCAUUGGGAAUAAGUGUGAUCUUGAAGAGAAAAGGGCAGUGAGUACAGAGGAAGGAGAGCAGUUUGCAAGGGAGCAUGGUCUUAUAUUCAUGGAGGCCUCUGCCAAGACUGCUCACAAUGUCGAGGAGGUAAAAGCCCCCAUGUUUUCAUUCAAAUGUUUAGGCUUAAACGGAGAUCUCUACACCGCACUUUUAACUCGCAUGCUUUAUCUCGCUUGCAUAUCCACCAGUUCAGCUACGAGUCUAAGAGAAGGAUAUUAUGUUGGUUGCAAAGUUAACGUAGAAUACCAAAAUUAGAUUCUGGCAGUUGGGGACAUCAUAAAAUGUGAAUAAGUAGAUUUUUGGAGUUAUUUCUUUAUUAAAUGUUAAGAGAGAAGAGCUUGUAUGCUUCUUAUUUGUUCCACUCCUAUAUACUAAAAGAAAGUCUAAAUCAUUAUGUCGAUGUGUUUUGUGUUUUGAAUUUUUGGAUAGGCAUUCAUCGAGACAGCCGCAACAAUAUACAAAAGGAUUCAAGAUGGUGUGGUUGAUGAGGCAAAUGAGCCUGGAAUAACUCCAGGGCCAUUUGAUGGAUAUGAUGCCAUCUCCUCGAAGCAAAGAAGAGGGUGCUGCGGCUGAGAUGGGAAAAAUGUGUUUGCUUCUUUAUAUUGUUGUAAUUCGUUUUGGAGUUUGAUUUAGUGGCUGUGUUAUGGUGACAAUACAGGUUUUUGUCUAUUCACAUAUCUAAACUUAAGAUGUGUUUUGCGUAUCUAAGAAAUGUAGCCCAUUUGCAUGGCAUUUGAAACAGUAGUAACUAGUAAGGAUAUGAUUGAGGUUAAAAGUGGUAAUGGCUACGUGUGAUUCCAUUUGCCAAGUCGAAGGAGAAGUGUACAUAAUGAAAUGCAGAGAUAUACAACAAUUAGAGCGAUUUGUUGAACUUUCGUCAAGGUGAACGGUGUCUUCUAUGGUUUACUCGCUUUAGGAUGCGAUGCCGCAGUCUUUUGCUAAAAGCCUCCAAUCUUUCCAAUUUUUCGUGUCUAGGCUUCUUGGCGUCUGUUUCACCUCCAUUCUUAAUUUUCUUCUCCUUACUAUCUUCUUCUUCUUCUCUACUAGAAUCUCUUGGCUUUUGUUCCGUGUUUAUAUCAGCAGUUUUCUCGACCUGGAAGGUAAUAUAUCAGAAACGAAACCCCAUCUCACCAAAUAUCAAAAUGUUUCAUAAAACAGAUUCGAAUAACAUCAACCUGAUCACCCUCGCAAGCGGUCAAACUUUCAUCUUCUUCAGUGCCUCCUAGUGAAGAGCAUCUGCCCCAGCUUUCCCUGUUGGAGCUUGUAAAUGAACAUCCAUCUUCAAACUGAUCAACAGGCCUCCCCUGCCAAAUAACAAUCAAAAUACAUACUGUGACCAAGGCUCAUAAGGUAACACUUAGGGUCUUUAACAGAAGCUUCAGAAAUGGUGUGUGGAAACAUAGUUAAAGCUCCUACUACUUCACCAUGUAUUAUGGUUUUCUGACAUGCUCCAGUUACCUCGAAGUUUUCAGGGUCGUCCAUGUUGUGAUCAUUAUCUUCCACAGGCACGUCAUCCUGUUUCAUUAAUGAUAGAUUAUCAAAAGGGAUAGACCAAGCAACAGAAAGGAAAUUCAUGCAAGAAAGAGAACAGGUAUACCUUAUCUGUCAUGGGCAUGGCUUCUGAAAGGAGCUCAGUCGUUGGCUUUGUGGUUAGAGGGGCAGGAGGUGCAGAAGAAGAACUUGCAACAUCGAUACAUGCCGAACGAAGACCAGAUAUGAUCUCAUACAGAAAACUCUGGCAGUAAAAAGUAACCAAGCAGUUAGAUUUUUGUGCAUGAUUCACCGUGCUAACUGUGAUGGAGCUAAUUUAUAAUUUUUGUUGUAUGAGAUGACCACCACGAGUUCUCAACCAUCAUAUACAUCAAGCCACCUCUUUAGUGACUCUAGCAGUAUGUCUAGGUAGUAAUGUCUUUGUUUUCUAUAGUACUUAAAUGCAGAAAAUAUAACAGACAGCAUCACAGAACCGGAAUUUAGGGUUGCUCCACCAUGGAGUGCAAAUUACCUCAUCCAAACCAGUAGCGCUAUUGACAUCUCCCAAACUGUAAUAACUUUCAAGUUUAGAUGAGCAAGCUGAAGAAAUUGGAGGCGGGCGAAGAACAUUGUAGAAGAAUAUUAACACUGAAUCAUAAAAAGAUUGCGGCCGCGAAGAAUUGUGAUCGCCAUCAAACUUGAUGAUAUUUUUGUCUCCCUGCACAGUUACCAGAAAAUUGGUAUAUAAAAAUGAAAAAGGAUUGAUAUGCUUGGACAAAAAAAACCGCAAUUAUGUAAGUACCGCAUAGCACUUCAGAAUGAGGUCAGAGUGAUGAGGUUGGAUGAAUUUGUCUUCGCUUGCAUGCCCAAAUAAAGCUGGAAUAAAAGUCUUGGGUGAAACCUGGGGGGGGAAAUCGAAAACUUCACUAAAAUGAUAACAUACUACCUUACUUGGAGCAAAUGACAAGAAAAACUAGGGAGAGGUGCUUAUACAACACCUUAACACAAUUGAGAUCCAUAAUAUUAAACUUCGCCUUUUUCUGAAUUAUACGCCGCAUGUACUGCACAGCCACUUUAACCUAAUUGAAAAAGGAGACAAAGUUUCACUGCAAGCAUAAGAAAAUGUCUACAAUAUGCUACCAUAGAUUGGAAUGGUCAAGGAAACUAUUUUGGACUCUUGUAGCCAUGUGAAAAUAUGAGCCUUCCUAAAUUUUCUUAUUAACAGGUUCAAUCCAAUAGCUAUGAGUAGCAAUUGUUACUACACAAACAGAAACACAAUCAACUUGAUCCUUGUACAGCCGAAGUGAUAAAUUAAUUUCAUGCUUCAUGUUUUAUAAACUUAGUGUCCAGUUUCAGGUGUAUAUUGCUAUCAAUAAUACCAGUUGGGGUUAAAGAGAGAAGGAGAACAUACUGUGAAUUUCGGUAGUCGGAUUUUGUAGACAUCCACUAGUUCCAUCAUCAGAUCAAAUAAGUUUGAAAAUGCACUGUCUAAGACCAUUCCAGCAAUUGAAGGAUCUUCUGCUCCAUAAAGAAGGCUGCACAUUUUAUCCCCCGCUUCAUUAAAUGAUGAAGAGAACAAGACGAGGAAUGUGGAGAGUUGACACACUUUUCAGAUCAUAGACCUUGAGAAAGCUGGUGAAUCUAUAGUCAAAACAACUACUAGUACUACUUUUUGUGACUGAGAAGUAGCUCAAGAAGUAACCUGGUAACUGCACCCAUAGAUCGUCCCCAAAGUCCAAUACGCGAUACUUGAUCGCUGUUUCUAAGGUAAGAUACCACAGUCUUGAGAUCAUCCUUCUAGCUUAAGUUUAACAAGAGAAAAUUUAGAUAAAGAUUUGAAGAGACGAGAAGCUUGUGAAAGUAAGACCCGGAAACACACCUCAUGCCAGCCAAGGCUUACAUAAUCACCCUCAGAUAAGCCUGACCCCGAGAAGUCAAGGGUGAAAACAGUAAUGUUAGAUGGAAGAAGAACCAUAACUGCCUCAUUUGCGUCUGCUCUACAUCCACUGGUCAGAUUCCAAAACAAACGAAUUAAGUUCUUACUUAUUCAAUUAGUCAUAAUCAAGAUCUUAGUUCCUAAAAGAGAUGUGCAAGUCUCUAUAUACCUAUUGCCAUGACAGUAUAUAACACAGGGGAGAGGAGUAUCCUCCAGAGAAGAUGAGGGAACAUAAUGACUGCAACGCAAGGUGUGACCCCUCGAAUUUGUAAGCUACCAGAGUACAAAAAUAUGAGACCUAUAAGGUUAACCGCAAGAGCAACCACAAUUUGAAGAAAAUACUAAAUCAUUAGGUGCCCAUACUUGCCUCCAAGUCUUGUCUUUUACACUCUGUGCCACCGAGGCUAAACUCCUUCUCCCACAAAUACUGAUCAGGAUCAUACUCAGCCCUGUAAAAAAAACCCCAACAGCUAUCAAUUAAAUGCAAAAAAGGUUGAGACUUGAAAGAGCUAAAGAGGGUAAAGAAGUACCUAGGAGGUCGAAUUACAAAGUUGAUGAACUGAUCAAUCAUCUUGAUUCCAAGUACCAAUGAACUCAUGAGCUAGUAGUAGUAGUCUUCUGAAUCCUGAACCAUGAUUCUACAGACAUUGCUUAGUCUUCAGCAACAAAAUCCCUAACAAAUUACAAGUGAGACAACAAAAAGCAUCAUGCUUUCGAGAGUCCCAUGACCCAUAUAACCUCUGAGAAAUGCGCAGAUCCCAAAGACGAGAGAGAGAGAGAGAGAGAGAGAGGGAAGAAGAAAUCUCAAACUCCCAGCUUUUGCUGAAAAGCAAGUAAGGCCACCCAAAAUUAUACCUACUACGAGCAAGCAGCAGCAGAAAACAAAAGGGAUAAAUAAAAAAGGAAAGAAAGAAGAAAGCUUUUAGUAUUAAAGAAAUGACAGAUGCCCAGAUCUUGAAAAUGAGUCAACUAGAAAACCGAGAGAAGAAGAGGAAAAAACUAUUCUCAAAGCCACGACUUUUGAGGAUGAAAACGAAAAGGUAGAAUCAGAUUUUCAGAUCUCGAGGUGGUAGAUACUCGAGAAAACAAGAAUCAAUUUUUAUAUUUCCCUUUUGAAGAUUCGAACGCUGGUCCUUGUGGUCAUUGCGCCAUCAAGAAGUCUCGAACUUUUUUUGGUUCAUCUUUGAGUUUGCUGUUCCUUUCUUCUCCAGCUCACUAGGUGGCCUGAUAGUGAUAGACUGACCGACCUGUAAAGCUUAAAAAUAUCUAGAAACAUAGACUUUUAAGGGUAAAAUGUUUAAAACAAAUCUAAAAUUAAAUUAAAUAUAAUGGUUAACAACAAAAACAUACAAUUUUUUUUUUUGACAUCCAAUGAUCAUCUAAGUGCAAAAAGUUAAUUUUAUUCUAAUUAAACAAUAUGAUUUGAUUUAGUUGAUAUUAUUUCAUUCUAUAUAUUUACAACAUUAGUAUUUAAACUAUUUUAAAAGUCUUCUUAUUAUAGCUACUUCGUAUAAUUCGUCUCUUCGAUUAAACUGGACCACCCAAUGUUCAAAAAAUCGGCGUAGACGGUGACUAGGCGCCCACUUAGGCGCUUAUGAACUUCAAUACGCUCCGAUUUUAAUUAAUCGGUGAACCAAGUCGGUUUACCGGUUUAGGCAUUCAUAAUCGAUAUUAAUCGGUCAAAUUAGCCGGUUUAAUGCAAAAAAAAUUUUCAAUAUAAGAUCGUUUUGAAUAAGUAAAAAAAAUAAGUAAAUAAAAGAAAAUAAACACUUAAUUACUAAACCUGUAAAUUAUGAAUUAACUAUUCUCAUUGUUUUUAGUUUCUAAUACUAAUCUAUUUUAGUUUUCAUAUAAAUUAUGUGUAAAUAUAUAUAAUAAAUUCGAAUAUGUACGUUUUUAACAUUCAUAUUUUAUUACCAAUAUUUUGUUACAAAAUCAUGAAAAAUAUUUUUAAAAUAAGUAAAUAAUGUGCUAAUGCCUAGGUCUCGGUUGAUCGAUCUAGGCGCUAGAUUCCUAUCGAACGCCUAGCUACCGUCCAACGGUUUUUUUUGAAUAUUGCGGUCAUCUAUUCGUAUUUAAUUUUGGUUGGCUAAAAAUAUUAUAGAAUGAAUAAUUAAUUUCAUAUUCUUACAAUAUUUUUUGUUAGAAAACUCAGCUUGUUAGAUUUAUCUAAAUUAGGUUGCGAAAAUCCGAUUUAUCCAAUUGGUUUAUAUGGUAUAAGAAUUUCUCCAGCGAUUAAAUUAUUUUUGAAACUUGGUUAGAUUUCAAUUAAAUUUCGGUUUAGUUCAGUUACCAACCCCUAAUUUUGUUUUAAAAUUUAUGUCGACAAUUGAUAUUACAGCAGCAGUGCACCGUCAUCAACAGCAGAUAUUUUAUAUUCCUUUAACAGAGCCCCGUAACUCUCCCCAAGUCAUUGAGUCAUGACUAUUUCACAAUUCCAACCGCCUCUUGCGUGUUCUUGAGGAAACGACCCUCUUGCUUCUCCUUCGAUUCCGCUUCUACUCCGAUCGAAUUCCAACUCUGAGAAUUUCAUUCUCUUCUCACGAUUACUUGAUUUUGCACAUGUUUUUUUUUUUUUCUCUUUUUCUGUUAGAGUUUUGAUUUGCAGAGUUCGAAGAUGUUGGAAGAUCAGGUAGCGUAUUUGUUACAAAGGUACUUGGGGAACUAUGUGAGGGGAUUGAGUAAGGAAGCUCUUAAGAUCAGUGUUUGGCAAGGUUAGAUUGUUUCUAUUUUCUCGCUGAAUUUUUGUAAUGUCUGGAUUUGAGUUUCAAGUUCGAAUGUUGUGAUAUUCAGUAGCGAGUUUGAAUUAUAAUCGAAUGUGACAACUGGUCAGGUUUUGUGUGCUGUGGUUGACUGCGCUUUAUUGAAUUGAGUUCUGUUCGAGUUAUAUUUCAUGUGUAGCACAACUUUAUUUUGGUUUGUGCUGGUUCUUCACUUUAUAAUUGCUUAGUUACUUCUCACAGUUGCUACUCAGAACAGAUGACUGAAUAAAUUAAGUAUUUAUUAUAUCUCUUGGUUUUAGUUUUUUUCAUUUGCUAAUAUAGCUCUUGGUUCUACUUGAUUUCGCAGGAGAUGUAGAGCUGAAAAAUAUGCAGCUUAAACCAGAAGCCCUUAAUGCUUUGAAAUUACCUGUCAGGGUUAAAGCUGGAUUUCUUGGAUCAGUCAAACUCAAGGUGUGUUGUGUGUUUUGUUUAUCUAUCCCAUCUAACCUAAACAAUAUAUACUUGAGUGCCUUACUUAUCUUUUCUUUUUUCUACUCCAUUUGCUCACGAAUAGUAUUUCACUUGUUUUCGUGGUCUCUAUCAGUCAUCUUACUCAAUAGUCAAUAUCAUACAAUAUUUAUUGUUUUUAACAUUAAUUUUCCUGGGCCUAAGUCUCUUCACUGAAUUCACCUUCCAAUAGUUUUAUACGCUCACUUAGACCCAUUUAUUGAUUUUUUUCCAAAUCAUCAUUUUAGGUACCAUGGACCAGACUUGGACAGGAACCUGUAGUUGUUUAUCUUGACCGAAUUUUUGUAUUAGCCGAACCUGCUACUGAUGUUGAAGGACGUAGUGAGGAUUCUAUCCAGGAAGCAAAAAGAAAUCUAAUACGGGUGAGAUAUGUCGCUCAUAUUAUGACCAUAUUCCAUUUCUCUUAUUUGAGUUAUUGAAUCAAAUUUCUGUUUGUGGUAAACAGGAAAUGGAAACGAAACUAGUUGAAAGAGCUCGUCGACUACAGACAGAAAUGGUGUGGCUAGUGCUACUCACUCCUAGUAGAUAACGUAGGGAAAUAUAUUGUACUAAACUAACCAUAUUUUCUUAUUCUCUUCAAAGAACAAAUCAUGGAUGGGAUCAGUGAUCAACACUAUCGUUGGAAACUUGAAGCUGUCAAUUUCAAAUAUUCACAUAAGAUAUGAGGAUCUAGAGAGGUAACUCGAUUAUAACAGAAGCUUUGUUCUUGAUUGUCUACGCAUUUGUAUGAUUAACAGCCUAUGUUAUAAGUGCAGCAAUCCCGGCCACCCGUUCUCAGCUGGUGUUACACUAGAGAAACUCUCAGCUGUAACCAUUGAUGAGAGUGGAAAAGAAACUUUUAUUACUGGCGGGACUCUGGACUCCAUCCAAAAGGUAUAUAUUUGUUCAUCAAUAUCUGAAUGGCACAAGCUUUUCUGGUCAUAUGCCUCAGUUUCCUAGUUUUGUUUCUCUUAUGAGGGUUUUAUGUUAAGAUCUCUUGCACUUCUUCUUGCUUGUAGGUAGUAGCUUGGUAGUUUAUGAUUUUAAUCUAGUUCAAUAAGUUAAGUUUAUGUGGCUAUAGUAAGAAGCACGGGAAAAUUGAAUUGGGCUGCUCUCUGGAUUUACUGCAUUGGGAAAGGAAUACCCAUGCCAAGAAACAAAAGCAAGGGUACUUUACAUUUAUGUUUCUUGCUAUAAUUGUUUGCUUUUGCCUUUUUUUGCAGUCUGUUGAACUUGAUCGGCUUGCAUUCUAUCUUGAUUCUGACAUGUCUCCGUGGCAUAUUGACAAACCAUGGGAGGUUCUAACUCCUUUUGAGUGGGAUCAGGUAUUGACAAGGAAAGUCAUGUAUAUUUAGUGGAAUCAGAAUUUUCCAUUGUCUCUUACCCAACAUCUAAUUUUCGGUGCAUGCAAAUAUCUAGAUUUUUAGAUUUGGCACAAAGGAUGGUAAGCCAGCUGACUGCCUCACGAGGAAGCAUUUCUAUAUUCUGCAACCUGUCUCAGGGAAUGCGAAGUACUCUAAGUCUCAACCAAAUGAAUCUUCAAAUACUGCUCAGCCUUUGCAGAAGGCAUAUGUAAACUUAGACGAUGUGACACUUUGUUUAUCAAAGGUAAAACAAUACAUUUAAGGUUUCUACUCUUUUUCUAUUUGGCUGUCCCCGGUGGUCUUGAUUAUGUGUCUUUUUUUUUUGUACUCAGGGAGGAUACAGGGAUGUCAUGAAACUUGCUGAUAAUUUUGCUGCAUUUAAUCAGCGUUUGAAAUAUGCACAUUACCGUCCAUCUGUUCCAGUUAAAAUCGACGCAAAAUCGUGGUGGCAAUAUGCUUACAGAGUUGUUUCAGAACAAAUUAAGAUAGCAAGGUAUCUAAAUGUAAACCUUUAUCUAUGUUUUUUUAUUGAUGCCGGCUUUUUGCGUAAUUUGCAUCGGUUGUGGAAACAUCUUCUUUGCAGUUCCUUACAUUAGGUUUUGUUUACAUUUUCUGACAUUGUUACCUUUAUGACAGCGGGAGAAUGUCAUGGGAGCACGUUUUAAAGUACACUAGUCUACGCAAGAGAUACAUCACACAGUAUGCUUCGUUACUGAAAUCUGAUAUCAGUAGGAUAGUUGUUGAUGAUGAUGAAGAAAUCGAGGCCCUUGAUCGGGAACUUGAUACCGAUGUUAUUUUGCAAUGGAGGUAAGCUGUAAAGCUUAAAUAAUAGUAAUUUUUAGUUGCAUCCUAGAAUAUCAGUUAGUUUUUUCAAAGGUUUGGUCUUGUGUCAUUCUAUGAAAUUUCAUGAGGACUGUUCUUUUUUUUCCUUUCUCUGUUUGCUUCCAUGACAUUUCUCUGUUUUACUUCCAUAUGUCAUCAUAGUACAUGAGUUCUGCUCCAUAUAAUGUAAAAUAAGAAUAAAUAUUUUAAUCAUUUUCAAUUUUGACUAAGUUCCUUGAGUUUCUUUAAAGGAUGUUGGCGCACAAGUUUGUUGAGAGGUCGGUACAGGCAGAAAAUUACUCGAAGAAGCAACAGGCUAAAAGUUCAUGGUGGCCAUUCGGAGGGUGAAUGCUCCUCUGGUUCUUUCCAGUUCACAACUCUUUUUCCCAAAAUUUCUUCUCAAUUAUCUUGUAUGUAUGCCUUCAGGAAGAGUGAAGUGUCCGAAGGUGAAGGAGAAUCUAUUCAAUUCACAGAUGAAGAUUGGGAACGGUUAAAUAAAGUCAUAGGGUACAAAGAAGGUGAUGAGCAAUCAAUUAUCAACAAUGCAAAACCUGAUGCUCUCCACACUUUCUUGGAGGUACAGAUGAAGCGUAGUGCUUCAAAACUUUAUGAUGGGGAGAAAGAAUGUCUUGCUGAGUUAUCAUGUGAAGGUCUUAAUUGCUCCGUUAAGCUUUUCCCAGAGACGAAGAUAGCUGACAUUAAAUUAGGGAGAUAUCGCUUGUCAUCGCCAAGUGGUCUGCUUGCUGAGGUUUGUUACGUGGAUUUCAUUUUGUUUUGGUGGCUGUAAAACAUUAUCAGUGGUAUCUUAAAAUCUUACAAAUGUCUCUCUUCCUGCAGAGUGCACCUGCCUCUCACUCUGUACUUGCUGUCUUCUGUUAUAAGCCCUUUGAUGCUAAAGUUGACUGGAGUCUUGUUGCAAAAGCUUCUCCAUGUUACAUGACUGUACGUGACCUCUCUCUGAGGCAAAUUUGUAUAGGUAGUUCUGUAAUUUAUAUAUAUGUGGCUGAUUGUGUUGCCAUCUGCAGUAUCUAAAGGAUUCCAUUGAUGGAAUUGUCAACUUCUUCGAAAGCAGUACUGCUGUGAGCCAGACAAUAGCUUUGGAGACUGCCGCUGCUGUACAGGUGUGUCCUUUAUGUGCUAUGGUGUACAAAGUUGGCUAACACAAGUUCAUAUUAGCGUUAUAUAGCCUGUUAACUAUUGGUAAUCAUCGUGAUGAAUUUAGGAUCUUAGCAAGCAAAUUCUGUUUGUUGUCAAUAUUGUACUAGACACCUGAGUAAUUCUGUUGGAACUACAGAAUUUUUCAUGCGACUUUUUUUAUACUGGAAAUCAAAGCUUACACUGUUGACAUGAUACUUCAUAUCUGUGAUGGAAAUGGCAAAACUAUUUAUAGAGCCUGCUCCUUGCACGUGAGCUACAAUGGUGCCUGGCAGCUUAUUAAAAAACUGUUGGAAUUAUAUCUCUGAACCUUCCUUAUAUUCAACUGCCCAAGGAGAACCACUUUAAUCAUUAUAAGCCACAUACUUAUUUUCUCAGUCAACUAUUGAUGAAGUUAGACGCACUGCUCAAGAAGGAAUGAAUAGAGCAUUGAAAGAUCAUUCAAGGUCAGUUUGUACUCCCAUAUGCUCUUUGGUCAAAUUUAUGUCAUGUUUGUUACAGUAAAUGACGUUGUACAAAACAACCAGGUUUCUGCUCGACUUAGAUAUUGCAGCACCCAAAAUCACAAUUCCAACAGAAUUUCGUCCUGAUAACCAUCGUUCUACAAAGCUUCUUCUAGACCUGGGUAAUUUGGUCAUCCGUUCCCAGGUAAAGUAUAAAAGUGUCAGUUGUCUUAACAAUAUAAUUCCUAUAUUCAAAUGCAGGAUCUCAAAUUUCUAUGUAUUUAAAUUUUGCAGGACGACUAUAAGCACGAACUGACAGAGGAAAUGGAUAUGUAUCUGCAGUUUGAUUUAGUUUUGAGUGAUGUGUCCGCUUCACUUGUUGAUGGUGAUUAUUCCUGGAAACAAUUAUCCUCAAAAAGAUCUUCUAGUUCUGGCAGGGAAAGCAGUGUAACUUUCUUGCCAGUUAUUGAUAAGUGUGGGGUACUCUUAAAACUUCAACAGGUAAACUCUAAACAUCCGGCAAUUAUAUUUUUGGUAAAAGAAUUAUGUUUCAGACUAUAGAUUUGUAGCAACAUUGUUACUUGUUCUGCUGCUUAGAUUCGUCGACCAAACCCAUCGUACCCAUCAACCAGACUUGCUGUGCGGCUACCAUCAUUAGGCUUUCACUUCUCCCCGGCUCGAUACCAUAGGUUGAUGCAAGUUGUGCAGAUCUUUCAAACUAAGGAUGAUGAGAGCUCUCAAAUUCUACGUCCAUGGGAAGAAGCUGAUUUUGAGGGGUGGUUGUCUAUUCUUAGCUGGAAGGUCAGUUCCUUUUUGCAUACCAGAAUCGAUUUCCUGGUUGCAAACUCUUUGUCUACUUGGACACUAGUUAUUUAUUCCAGUGUCAAUUCCACGAAUAGGGAAGAGAAGCUACGUGGCAGCGGCGGUACUUAUGCUUAGUUGGUCCAUUUAUCUACGUGCUCGAAAGUCCUGGCUCAAAAUCUUAUAAGAAGUAUACCAGGUCUGAUUUCCAACUCUUGCAAUUUGGCUAUGGUAGUAGGCUGUAAAGAUUAGGUGAUUGGAUAAAAUGAAUGGCCUGUACAAACUCGAUAAAGACCAGCUCAUUUAUAUGCAAAUGUUUGCGUCUGUUUACAAUUAUCUUACAUCUUGAAAUAUAAAUACGAAACUCAACAUGUGGGAAGAGUAUGGCAAGAUUUCCUUUUUGUGCUCAAUGUUUGAUGUUAUCGGAGGCAUUUGAAAAUUAAACCAAUGUUAUGCUCUUAGUUGUCUUUAUUGAACGGGCUUAUCUAGCUCUCCAUGUCUAACUGAAAUCCACUAAAAGUGUUAUUGAUCUACGUUCAUAACUUUAGUGUAAGAACUCAUUACCCAAAAUUGUAUGCUAUUUCACUAAGCACUUAAAGUGUCUAUUUGUUUUGAUAUAUUUGCCUAAUACCAUCUGUUCGUUUUUUUGUUUGUCAUAUUCCUUCUUUUCUAAUGAUUUUUUCUUAAUCUCUUGUAGCUUACGCGGGAAGCAUAUAUACAAAGUUCCCGUAGAGCUUGCGGGAGGAGUAGAGCAUGUCUUGUCCAUUCGUAAUGCUUCUCGGAUCAGUGAUAAGGUUUACAUCUCAUUUAGUUGAAUCAUUAAAUGCGGGGAAAUUUUGGUCCUGCUUUUUAUGUUUUCAUUGUGUGUUUUCGUUAAUGAAGGGUCUAAGAUCUCAUUCUGAUGAUUGUAAUUUUCAAUGAAAAUUUAGCUCUGCAGCUUUUAAUUUAUAUCAUGUCUCUAGGUUAUGGAGGAUGUAAAUGCACUCAUAUUGAUGUUUGACUCUGAAGACUCCAGAAAAACAUGGCAUAGCCGUUUGCAGGGCGCUGUCUAUCGGGCCUCGGUAAAUUUAAUUUUGGUUAACAGAAGAUAUUGAACUUUAUGUCCAUUUAUCAAUAGGGUGUCUACUGUGAGACAGUUCCAUUGACGGUUUGCUAUUUUGUUGAUUAAAGUUAUAAAGUUUACUUAAAAUAUACAGGGUUCUGCUCCCAUAGCCGGUCUUUCUGAUACUUCAUCUGACAGUGAGGAAUCAGAAACAGAACAGAAAGAUGUUUUUGAUUUGUCUAACUUGGAGAGUGUAUAUGUAACCGGUGUGCUUGAUGAACUCAAAAUAUGUUUCAGUUAUGGUCAUCAGGUAAAUUCAAACUAGAAAUUCCAGUUCUAGUUGUUAGCUGGGGCAUUCUUUGACUGAGUAUAUGUUUAUAUAGGAUGAUGCUUCUUUCAUGGCGGUGCUUCUUGCCAGAGAGAGUAAAUUGUUCGAGUUUAGGGCCUUAGGUGGGAAGGUAAGAUGGUAUGCUUCUUAAUUAUCUUUUUGUUAUUUCUUAUUCCUUUUGCUGAGAGUAUGUUUGUCUUUGUCGAACCAGGUUGAAGUUUCGAUGAGAGGGAGUGAUAUGUUUAUUGGGACUGUACUAAAAUCUUUGGAAAUAGAAGAUUUGGUGAGCCAUUCUGGUUUAAACGAAUCUUGUUAUUUGGCAAGAUCUUUUAUUCAGUCUUCAGAAAUGCUUCCAUCCUUUGAAGAUGCUGAGAGCAGGAGCCCUGAACGCAUUGAUCCUACUUCUAGUGAAGGGGAGGAAAAGUUUUAUGAAGCACCAGAAAUCUUGGUUGAUUCCAUUGACUAUACAUCUCUCAGGACCCCUAGUUUUAGUCGCAUUGAUGGAUUGCUUCCUGUUGACAACAAGAAUAUCACUAAGCCAAGCAAUGAGACAACUGAGUCACUGGAUAGUUUCGUGAAGGCUCAAAUAGUCAUAUACCAUCAGACGUCACCUCAAUAUAAAAACAUUGAUAACCAGGUUGAUAGUUUUCUACUUUUGCAUCUUCGAAUCCGGAGAUCUUAGUUUUUCAUUGUUAUAAAGUGAAGCUGCCUUACUAAAUCACUCAUCUUUUGGCUGCGUUUGUAGGUUAUGGUAACUUUAGCUACAUUAUCAUUUUUCUGUCGAAGGCCAACAAUUCUUGCUAUUUUGGAGUUUGUAAAUGCUAUCAAUGUUGAGGAUCCAAGCUGUGAAUCUUUUGAGGACAACUCUCCUGUAGCUGGAGAGCAUACUUCCCCAAGAAGAGAUGGAUUUGAAGAUUCUAGGGAUGCAGCUGUCAAGGGUUUGUUAGGGAAGGGGAAAUCUAGAAUCAUUUUCAACUUGGCAUUGAACAUGGCUCGGGCGCAGAUAUUCCUAAUGAAUGAGAAUGGAACUAAGUUUGCUACAUUGUCACAAGACAAUCUGCUGACAGAUAUUAAGGUGUGAUUAUGCUCUUUUUGAAUUGCAUUCCAAACUUUAUUUCAUCUCUUUUUCUUCAGUAUAGUGACUUUUCGUAAGGUAAGUGGGCAUUUUCUGUGCUGAUUCCCAUUUGUUUGAAGGUCUUUCCGAACUCGUUCAGUAUUACGGCAAGUCUUGGAAAUUUACGAAUCAGUGAUGACAGCCUCCCAGACAACCAUAUGUACUUUUGGAUCUGUGAUAUGCGAGACCCUGGAGGAACUUCUUUUGUUGAGGUAUCGGUUGCUUGUUUCUUUUCACUUUUCUCUUUUCUCUUCGUGGAAUGAGAAGGGAUUGGGUAGAUGAGAUUUAUUUUUUUCCAUCUUGAUUUACCUUUUUUUUUGUCUUGCUAGUUGGCUUUCACAUCAUUCAGUAUCAUUGAUGAAGAUCAUGAAGGUUUCGACUACUGCCUUUCUGGGCAGCUUUCUGAAGUGCGCAUUGUUUAUCUAAAUCGCUUUAUUCAAGAGGUAGUUCAUUCUCUCUGCAUAGAUACGAGCAACUUUUUGUCUUGCUUCCUACAAUCAGUUUCCACCAUGUAGGUUGCUGAAUACUUUAUGGGACUGGUGCCAAGUGAUUCAAAAGGGGUUGUCAAGAUGAAGGAUCAAAUUACGGACUCAGAGAAGUGGUUUACGACUAGCGAAAUUGAAGGAUCUCCUGCUCUUAAGUUGGAUCUAUCUCUUAAGAAGCCCAUAAUUGUUAUGCCUCGGCACACUGAUAGCCCUGAGUAAGUUCAUGCUUGGAUUUUGAAUUUUCCUUCCCCACUAUUUUAUCUCCAUUACACAUUUUUGUUUUAAAAAUUACUGGUCCUGUGAAUUCUCUAGGCUUAUCCGAGUGGUUGAUUUUUCUUUCUCCACUUUUUGGAUAUUUUCUUUUUUGCAGUUACCUGAAGCUAGAUAUUGUGCAUAUAACUGUGGACAAUACCUUUCAGUGGUUUGCUGGAGACAAAAAUGAGCUGAAUGCAGUUCACGUGGAAACUAUGAAAAUAAUGGUGAGGACUCUCGUUGUUUCGCUGUUAGGAGGAGCAUGAUUUAUUCUGGUUGAUAUCGCUUUAAUCUUUACAACUUUUUUGUGCAGUUUUUUUUUCUGAUGACCCUCUCCUAAUAUUUUUUGUUCUUUGACCCAAAAAAACAUCAACUUAGGUCAUGGAUAUCAACCUUAAUGUUGGUUCUGGAGCUGAAAUAGGUGAAAGCAUAAUUCAAGAUGUGAAGGGGGUUUCUGUAACCAUUAACCGAUCUCUGCGAGACUUGUUACAUCAGAUACCGAGCAUUGAAGUUUCUAUUGGGGUAAAGGAUAAUGUUUUAUAUCCAGUCUGUAGUGUAAUACUUACUUACUCAUGCUUUUUCGAAAUUUCUGAUUUAUCAGAUAGACGAACUAAGAGCAGCCCUCUCAAAUAGGGAAUACCAGAUCUUGACAGAGUGUGCACAGUCUAAUAUUUCUGAGCUUCCCCAUACUGUGCCACCAUUGAGUGGUGACGUUGUGACAUCUUCAAGAAACUUACAUGAAACUCUUACUUCUGAGGAUACUAAUGCUGCUCAA